rnacentral:rRNA from 1 species
GAUGAACGCUGGCGGCGUGCCUAAUACAUGCAAGUCGAGCGAACAGACGAGGAGCUUGCUCCUCUGACGUUAGCGGCGGACGGGUGAGUAACACUUGGAUAACCUACCUAUAAGACUGGGAUAACUUCGGGAAACCGGAGCUAAUACCGGAUAAUAUAUUGAACCGCAUGUUUCAAUAGUGAAAGACGGUUUUGCUGUCACUUAUAGAUGGAUCCGCGCCGCAUUAGCUAGUUGGUAAGGUAACGGCUUACCAAGGCAACGAUGCGUAGCCGACCUGAGAGGGUGAUCGGCCACACUGGAACUGAGACAAGGUCCAGACUCCUACGGGAGGCAGCAGUAGGGAAUCUUCCGCAAUGGGCGAAAGCCUGACGGAGCAAAACCGCGUGAGUGAUGAAGGUAUUCGGAUCGUAAAACUCUGUUAUUAGGGAAGAACAAAUGUGUAAGUAACUAUGCACGUCUUGACGGUACCUAAUCAGAAAGCCACGGCUAACUACGUG